rnacentral:rRNA from 1 species
GAUGAACGCUGGCGGCGUGCCUAAUACAUGCAAGUCGAGCGAACGGACGAGAAGCUUGCUUCUCUGAUGUUAGCGGCGGACGGGUGAGUAACACGUGGAUAACCUACCUAUAAGACUGGGAUAACUUCGGGAAACCGGAGCUAAUACCGGAUAAUAUUUUGAACCGCAUGGUUCAAUAGUGAAAGACGGUCUUGCUGUCACUUAUAGAUGGAUCCGCGCUGCAUUAGCUAGUUGGUAAGGUAACGGCUUACCAAGGCAACGAUGCAUAGCCGACCUGAGAGGGUGAUCGGCCACACUGGAACUGAGACACGGUCCAGACUCCUACGGGAGGCAGCAGUAGGGAAUCUUCCGCAAUGGGCGAAAGCCUGACGGAGCAACGCCGCGUGAGUGAUGAAGGUCUUCGGAUCGUAAAACUCUGUUAUUAGGGAAGAACAUAUGUGUAAGUAACUGUGCACAUCUUGACGGUACCUAAUCAGAAAGCCACGGCUAGCUACGUG